rnacentral:rRNA from 1 species
UACGGAGGAGGCAAGCGUUAUCCGGAAUUAUUGGGCGUAAAGCAUCCGCAGGUGGCACCUCAAGUCUGCUGUCAAAGACCGGGGCUUAACCCCAGAAAGGCAGUGGAAACUGAAGUGCUAGAGUGCAGUAGGGGUAGAGGGAAUUCCCGGUGUAGCGGUGAAAUGCGUAGAGAUCGGGAGGAACACCAGUGGCGAAGGCGGCUUUCUGGUCUGCUCUUGACGCUGAGGCGCGAAAGCUAGGGUAGCAAACGGG